UGGCAGGUAUCACAAUCGGUAGUGAGGUCGGUUGUUACCCGGCACUAUGGAGGUUCGAGUCCUCUCCUGCCAG
rnacentral:tRNA from 1 species